GGAUGUGAAGGAGUUCAGGCUGCGACAUCUGUCACCCCAUUGAUCGCCAGGGUUGAUUCAGCUGAUUUGACUGACUAGGUGGGUGUGCCCUUCCUCCCUCACCACUCCAUGCACGUCCCUCCUGAAGCCGCAUGCUUGGUGGAAAUGGACAACCACCCCAGAUAGAAGGAAUGUACUGAUCUUCGGUCAAGGGUAUCCGAUAACUGCGCUUCUCUGCUAGAACUGCCAAACAAGCUCAAGAUGGAAAAUGCUGUAUGGUGGUUUGCCUGAAUUGCUGGCUAAUAAGUUAUAUCAUCUCAUU
rnacentral:snRNA from 1 species